rnacentral:rRNA from 1 species
AACGAACGCUGGCGGCAUGCCUAAUACAUGCAAGUCGAACGAUCACUUCGGUGGUAGUGGCGCACGGGUGCGUAACGCGUGGGAAUCUGCCCUUGGGUUCGGAAUAACGCCGGGAAACUGACGCUAAUACCGGAUGAUGACGUAAGUCCAAAGAUUUAUCGCCCAGGGAUGAGCCCGCGUAGGAUUAGCUAGUUGGUGGGGUAAAGGCCUACCAAGGCGACGAUCCUUAGCUGGUCUGAGAGGAUGAUCAGCCACACUGGGACUGAGACACGGCCCAGACUCCUACGGGAGGCAGCAGUAGGGAAUAUUGGACAAUGGGGGCAACCCUGAUCCAGCAAUGCCGCGUGAGUGAUGAAGGCCUUAGGGUUGUAAAGCUCUUUUACCCGGGAUGAUAAUGACAGUACCGGGAGAAUAAGCCCCGGCUAACUCCGUGCCAGCAGCCGCCGUAA